rnacentral:rRNA from 1 species
CGCCUUGCCAGCCCGCUACAGAACUAAGGAAGUGACGGGGCCGCACAAGCGUGGAGCAUGUGGUUAAUUCGAUGAUACGCGAGGAACCUUACCUGGGCUCAAAUGUAUGUUGACGUAUUCUGAAAGGGAUACUUCUUCGGACAAUAUACAAGGUGCUGCAUGGUUGUCGUCAGCUCGUGCCGUGAGGUGUCGGGUUAAGUCCCAUAACGAGCGCAACCCCUAUCAUUAGUUGCCAUCAGGUCAAGCUGGGGACUCUAAUGAAACUGCCUACGCAAGUAGUGAGGAAGGUGGGGAUGACGUCAAAUCAGCACGGCCCUUACGUCCAGGGCUACACACGUGCUACAAUGGCCGGUACAAAGGGCAGCUACCUGGUGACAGGAUGCUAAUCUCAAAAGCCGGUCUCAGUUCGGAUCGGAGUCUGCAACCCGACUCCGUGAAGCUGGAUUCGCUAGUAAUCGCGCAUCAGCCACGGCGCGGUGAAUACGUUCCCGGGCCUU